AGCACCCCAAUCGGACCAAUACAUCCAACUAAGAGGGAGAGAAGAAUGAAACGAAAAAAAGGAUGUAUAGAGAUAAAAUCGCCCAAAUGUAUGCAACUGACAUCAUUUGCUUUUAAUGCAUACAUAAAUAACUAAAGUAAUGUACUUUAUCAACUACCGAACUACUGGGUAUUACAACAACUACAACUAUAACAAAUGACAUGUCAAGCCCAGACAGACACUUGCCUGCACAUGUUUAUUUAUACAUAAGAUUUGUUGUAACUUAUGCUGGCAAAAGAAAUUGUUUCAUUCCCUUCUAAACAUUAUUACAAUUUGAACAGAACUGCUAUUGAUAAAAUUACAGUGGUUAAAUGGUGUCAACACUGGCUAAAUGAAAAAGCUGCUGGCUAAAGCAGCAACUGCUGAAAACGUGGCGGAUCUUAAAGAGCAACCAAAAUAGUACAAGCAAUAGCAGCUGUAGAAGUUUUUGAACAACUAAAGCUUUUUGAAAGUGUACGUAUGUAAAACCCACCAAAUAUUAAAUGAAACAACAACUACAACAAUGUUGUUUGU